CAGGGCCACAGAGGAACCAGACCAUCCCCUCUGGAGACAACUGCCCUGCAGGGAAAACAAAGCUAUUAACAGAAGUGAAACGACGAGGCCUGGCUCCCUUGCAGGAUAGGCUUUGCCCCUUUGGCUAUAGGCCCACAUGAAGAAAAAGACAGACUGAGCACACACAUCCUAAAACACAUGCAUCGAGGUUGGCCUGUGAGAGACUGCAGGAGGGAGUGAAUUCCAGAGAUGAGGAUCUUCCAUCAGAAUGUCCUGCUGCCCAUGCCCUGGAGUUCAACCCCAGGGACAGAGAGCAAGGGCUGUCUUGUGGAACACAACUGUUGUGAUGCGGCAUAGCAGAAGAAGGAAGUGCAGAGGCUGAAGAAAAUGGCAAUGAAGAGAAAGGAAAAUUGACAGACCUUCUUGCCGGAAGUACGGUUUGGUUUGCGUUUGGGG